rfam:Cochliobolus sativus ND90Pr unplaced genomic scaffold COCSAscaffold_4, whole genome shotgun sequence.
GGUUUUGUAGUGUAGCGGUUAUCACUCCGGAUUCUGAUUUGCUUUCAGGAGCCUUCCGGCAACCCCGGUUCGAUUCCGGGCAAGACCU